rnacentral:rRNA from 1 species
GGUGUCCUACGGGGCGCAGCAGUGAGGAAUAUUGGUCAAUGGUCGGGAGACUGAACCAGCCAAGCCGCGUGAGGGAGGAAGGUACAGAGUAUCGUAAACCUCUUUUGUCAGGGAACAAAGACUGGGACGCGUCCCCGGAUGAGUGUACCUGAAGAAAAAGCAUCGGCUAACUCCGUGCCAGCAGCCGCGGUAAUACGGAGGAUGCGAGCGUUAUCCGGAUUUAUUGGGUUUAAAGGGUGCGCAGGCGGUCUGUUAAGUCAGCGGUCAAAGCCCGGGGCUCAACCCCGGCCCGCCGUUGAAACUGG